UACGGAGGGUGCAAGCGUUAAUCGGAAUUACUGGGCGUAAAGCGUGCGCAGGCGGUUUGUUAAGUCCGCUGUGAAAUCCCCGAGCUCAACUUGGGAAUUGCAGUGGAUACUGGCAAGCUGGAGUAUGGUAGAGGAAGGUGGAAUUCCCGGUGUAGCAGUGAAAUGCGUAGAGAUCGGGAGGAACACCAGUGGCGAAGGCGGCCUUCUGGACCAAUACUGACGCUCAUGGCACGAAAGCGUGGGGAGCAAACAGG
rnacentral:rRNA from 1 species